AGCGAACGCUGGCGGCAGGCCUAACACAUGCAAGUCGAACGAACCCUUCGGGGUUAGUGGCGGACGGGUGAGUAACACGUGGGAACGUGCCUUUAGGUUCGGAAUAACUCAGGGAAACUUGUGCUAAUACCGAAUGUGCCCUUCGGGGGAAAGAUUUAUCGCCUUUAGAGCGGCCCGCGUCUGAUUAGCUAGUUGGUGAGGUAAUGGCUAACCAAGGCUACGAGCAGUAGCUGGUCUGAGAGGAUGACCAGCCACAUUGGGGCUGAGACACGGCCCAAACGCCUACGGGAGGCAGCAGUGGGGAAUCUGGCGCAAUGGGCGAAAGCCUGACGCAGCCAUGCCGCGUGGAUGAUGAAGGUCUUAGGAUUGGAAAAUCCUUUCACCGGUGAAGAUAAUGACGGUAGCCGGAGAAGAAGCCCCGGCUAACUUCGUGCCAGCCGCCGCGGUAAAAC
rnacentral:rRNA from 1 species